rnacentral:rRNA from 1 species
AACGAACGCUGGCGGCGUGGCUAAGACAUGCAAGUCGUACGAUACGUUGUAGCAAUAUGGCGUAUAGUGGCGGACGGGUGAGUAAUGAAUAGGGUAACGUACCCCGGGCACAGGGAUAGCGUCGGGCGAAAGCCCUUUGCGAAAGUGACGGUAUACCUGGUGACGUCUUUAAGUGGCAUCACUUGAAGAUCAUAAGGUGGGGACCUUCGGGCCGUAUUGGCCGUGGGAGCGGCCUAUUUCCUANCAGCUAGUUGGUGAGGUAAUGGCUCACCAAGGCAACGACGGGUAGCCGGACUGAGAGGUUGUCCGGCCACAUCGGGACUGAGACACUGCCCGGACAUCUACGGAUGGCUGCAGUAACG